rnacentral:rRNA from 1 species
UACAGAGGGUGCGAGCGUUAAUCGGAAUUACUGGGCGUAAAGCGCGCGUAGGCGGCUUUGCAAGUCGGGUGUGAAAUCCCCAGGCUUAACCUGGGAACUGCAUUCGAGACUGCAUUGCUAGAGUAUGGGAGAGGGAAGUGGAAUUUCCGGUGUAGCGGUGAAAUGCGUAGAUAUCAGGAGGAACACCAAUGGCGAAGGCAGCUCGCUGGGACGUGACUGACGCUGAGACGCGAAAGCGUGGGGAGCAAACAGG